AAAGAAAAGUAGAACAGCUGUUGCCACAUUCUGGUUCUUGUUCAAAUUCAUGUGCUGGGCUACUUUUGGAGUCUUUCCUAGCUUGUGGUUNNACUUUCCUUUUUCAGUUUUCUGUUGCAGCUGUAUAUAUUCUCCAUUACUUUUCAAAACUGCACAAAGAAUGUAGACCAAAUUCAGUAGACAGCCAAUCAGAUUACCAUAACUCUGCACAUCAAUUAAGAAUACUCCCUUUGCUCUCGGCUUGGUGCAAUCAGGGCUGUUUUCCCAUCAAAAUAGAAAGUCUGUAGUUUUGUAUAGCUGCUGUGACAGUGUUUGGAAACGGUGCAGAUUCUUCAAAUCCUCUCUCGGGUUUAGGUUCAAUGAGUUUGCUGAUAUGCUGCAAGAAGGACUUGUUNUUGCUGNUGUUUUGCUCUUGUGCCGUGUUAAAAGUCACAGUUGGUGUUCACGGCUUUCUAACUCCAAUCUGCAUAACUCUCAAUUUUGUUGAGCACAUUGUUGUUCCAAUUUAGAGAUUCAAACAGGUUAACUCUGACAAUUAACAUCUUCACUGAAUUUCAGCAAGCAAUGGUUAACUAUGAUGAGGGUAGAGUAGUUAAAACCAGUGUAAGCACCACUAAUUCAACAAUCACAGUUUUCUACUCCUUGGUCACCAAAUGUUAAUUCUGCACAAAGAACAAUCAGUAAAAGAUGUUCACCCACAAAUUGAAAUUAGUGCAAGAAAUCUGUUUCCAAAAGCUUAUUAGAAUUUGCAAAUCUGGAAAACAAAAUAGAAGAAAAAGGCAUUUGACAUUGCAGCUCUUGACUCUCAGCAAAGAAAAAGGAUGGGUUUUUGGCAAUGCAACUUUGGUCUCUCUCAAAGGAAGCUGCAUGAAAAUUGGAUGCAGCACAAGUCUCACAGUUGCUAUCAAUUGAAGCUGUUAUGUCUGGAUGCAGAAUCAGGUCUGCUUCACACAAUUACAGUAGCUGCUGCAGCAAAUAUGCAG
rnacentral:lncRNA from 1 species